AGAUGCAAUUCAUCCCGAUAUGUUGCUAAAUAUUCAAAGAUUACUAUUAACAUUAUGCAAAUUAAAUAAUAUCGUACGCAAUCAUUAGAAAUUGGCCACAAAACAUAUACUAAGCCGCGGACAUUUCUUCGGGUCUCCGAGCAAAUGUGAUUAAACUCUGGACGGCGAAUCGUUCGUUUCCGUAAAUGAAGCAUGUGCGUAUAACAAUGCAAGCACACAGGACAAUUCUACCUCAUGGUAAUUAUUUGCGAUUUAUAUAACAUUAAAAAUGGGAGUUUGCAGUACUCUGUAUCAUGAAUUCAGAUGUAUAAAUCAUACACACACAAUAGAAACUGUUACAAAGUAUCAAGGAUCGGGUGUCGAAUGUCAAAAUGUGUAACACUAUCCCCCGUUUUCAAAACAUUUCGUCCUCGAAAAGAAGUGAAUAAGUAACUUUAAAAGAGAUUCGACUCCGACCUUGUACCACAUACUAAAAAAAAAUCAGCAUGACACAACUUUUGGAACGCACCUGUACAUAUCGAUCGUUACAAUAUUUGACCUUUAUAAGUGUUCAUUCCUUUUUACAUUUAUCUAAUUUUUAACAAUGUUUUAGAGAUACAAUAAUGUUCCUUUGCUAAAAAAUAAGAAAUUUUGGAAAAUACAAAAAACGUGUAUCUAAUAAUAACGGUUCGUAAAACUUCGAAAAUUUCCGUAAUCGAGCCUCAUUUUGAAAAGACACAUGGCAGUUGCAGAUUGCACAAACAGGAAUGCUAAAUAAAUCUCAAAAUAUGGAUAAUUUAUGAAGAGUUGGAUAAAAUCACUUAGCAGAAAGGUAAAUGACCUGAUAAGUAAGACUUUCAGUAAAAGGUGAUAGGUUGGCAUUACGUGUAAAUGUGAAAAAAUACCAAAACAAUGAACAAUAGUUACGUCUCGCAAUAAUCAGUGACUAGAAUAAAAAACUGUUUAAAUACUUAAAUUUCUAAAUUUACAGUUAAAAGAAAACAAACAAAAAAAACCACCUGUAAUGUAACCAUUUUGAGUUCAUUAAUAUUAUUUAACAUGAAUAUAUAUAUUUAUUAUUUAAUUAUUUUUUUAGAUAACGAUACGGUAGAGGAGGAGUUGCACAUCCUCUCCGCCCACAGACGUUCAAAAUCCCUGCCAUAGUCUAUACAGACAAACUGAUCUUCCUGUUCCCUCUGGCAUAAUCUUCUCUCCAGAUCGGCAGCCUUCUCGCGCUCCUUGACCAAGUCUGUGGCUAAAACAUCGUUGAUUCGACGUUGCUCAGCUUGUGCGAGAAUCCACUUGUGGUCCUCUUCCUCCACAACAGGCCCGGCAGAAACAACAUCGUCUGCCAUAAACUCCGGCAGAUCAUCGAAGUAAUCUAGGUCGCCGACCUCAUAACGUAGUGCCAUCUCAAGAAUGUCCGGCUUGGAAACCUCAACAGGUGGUGGUAUGGCACUCGGGAGGUGGAGGCGGUUGUGUGCACUGGCUCUGUGCAGGCGGUGGAGGCUGUGUGGAACUCUGGUUCUGCACCUCCAUGAAAUUGGACGACCAGUCGAGUGAAAUAGAGUGGACCUUAAUCAUGAAGUUACUAGUCAUGCUCUCCUUCUUAACUAGGUGUGUCCUCGAGGUGCCGGCGGAGUGAUGCCCCAGACAACAAAACUGGCAGCUGUACAACUUGGAAUGCGCUGCAUAGAAGUGGCGCUUCCGCUGGCUGGUCAGCAACACUCUUGGGCAAAGUUUACAUCUGAAGAACUUCAUCUCGGCCUGAAAAAUAGGAGACCCGGUUUCAGCAAACCUGCCGAGCACCACACAUAAACAUCAAAGAUAUGGAAGUUGUCUCCAUGCCGGAAACCCUUAAUUAGCAUAAUUCAGUGUUUUACCACAAAAGAUGGUACAUUCUCCGGUUCCUCUUCUGAAGGCAGGGUAAACAUUACCGUGGCAGGUGUAUUCACCUCUCGACCUAACAUCAACAGAUUUGGAGUAAACCCGGUAGCAGGAUGCUUUGUGCUUCUGUAUGCUGCAAGAAUAUAAGACUUGGAGCAUUCUAACCCAGGAACACUGGAAAUAUCUUGUACUGGAUGAAGUUCACCGAGAAGAUAACCUUUCUUCAACCGGAUCGGUCCAUCCGAAAAAUUCAUCAGUCUGACAGAGUGUAGUCUCCAAAACGACGCUUCAGAGCUGACAUCAGGGUCUCCAGAUCCGCAUCUAUGGCAUUAGGCAGCUCGGACGCAAACAUCAGUGUCUCGUCUGGCAAGCUAAACCACAACUGCUCUAGCUUUUUACCGUGGUCUCAGUUACUCCUUUUAGCCAUGAGCUGGAACUGAAUCAUAAAUGCUUCAAACUUCGUUUUACCAUCGUAUGUUGGCAACCUAGGUUUCGGUUCAUCCGGGAACUAAGGGGGGUUAAAGACACGUGGUAACUCUCCUCCCUGAGGAAAUUGAAACGCAUAGUACUAAUGGCAGCAAACGGUGAAGAUUGUACAAUUUGUGUAGAAGUCCCGGGCACUAACACUGGUGAAGUAAUACCGUGUCCUUCCAUGGAACUCAGAAGUGUAUUAUCACAGUUAUUCACAGUCGUGGGAAUUGCUUUUGAUCUCAAUUCCAUAUUUUCAACAACAGUUUUUCUGUAACCAUAAACAUUGUUUUACUCUGAUAUACUGGACAGAUAAAGUUAUUUAAUACACAAUAAUUAGAAUUAAAGCAAAGUGAUUAGUGAACAUCAAGAUAGAUAUCAAUUUACAAGAUUUUAGUCAUUUUUCAGAUUACCAUAUUUUACAGUGCAACCGCUGUUACCGGCACCUGACAAACAAUUAAAAGAACUUAAUGAAUCCUCACAACCAUCAUUUUCAAUACAGCUUAACUUUACAAAAUUCAGUGAUGUCGACUCUAAAGGGGUUGCACUGUAAUUACCAUAUACAACCUUAUUAUACAUUGGCAUUGGCUAAAAUGAUAUUUGCUUUUAAGACAGUAAUGUACAUAAUACCGGUAUUUCUUACUAUCUUUAAAUGAAAGUAGCAACAUGGUAUAAUUGGACAUUUGCAUUCAAGUAGCAAGAAUUAUACAUGUUACC